rnacentral:rRNA from 1 species
AUUGAACGCUGGCGGCAUGCCUUACACAUGCAAGUCGAACGCGAAAGCGGGGGCAACUCCGCAAGUAGAGUGGCGAACGGGUGAGUAAUGCAUCGGAACGUGCCCAGUCGUGGGGGAUAACCAGUCGAAAGACUGGCUAAUACCGCAUGAGACCUGAGGGUGAAAGCAGGGGAUCCGCAAGGACCUUGCGCGACUGGAGCGGCCGAUGCCGGAUUAGCUAGUUGGUGGGAUAAAAGCCCACCAAGGCGACGAUCCGUAGCUGGUCUGAGAGGACGAUCAGCCACACUGGAACUGAGACACGGUCCAGACUCCUACGGGAGGCAGCAGUGGGGAAUUUUGGACAAUGGGCGCAAGCCUGAUCCAGCCAUGCCGCGUGAGUGAAGAAGGCCUUCGGUUGUAAGACGUCUUUAGUUCCGGGUACCGGAAAUACGCACGCGUG